rnacentral:rRNA from 1 species
AAUCGAACCCGGAGAUAGCUGGUUCUCCUCGAAAUAGCUUUAGGGCUAGCCUCAUACAAGUCUGCCGGAGGUAGAGCACUGAAUUUCCGCGGGGGCGUCAAAGCCUACCAAAGAAUAUCAAACUCCGAAUGCCGGACAGAUGGUGUAUGGGAGUCAGACUGUACGAGAUAAGUUGGACAGUCAAAAGGGAAAGAGCCCAGACCGCCGGCUAAGGUCCCAAAGUGGGUGUUAAGUGGAAAAGGAUGUGGGAUCUCUAAGACAACCAGGAUGUUGGCUCAGAAGCAGCCAUUCAUUAAAAGAGUGCGUAACAGCUCACUGGUCGAGAGGUCCUGCGCCGAAAAUGUCCGGGGCUGAAACACCACACCGAAGCCGCGGAACCCGUAAGGGUUGGUAGAGGAGCAUUCUUAGGGGAGCGAAGCAUUACCGGAAGGGGAUGUGGACUGCUAAGAAGAGAGAAUGCCGGAAUGAGUAGCGAGAGCAAGGUGGGAAUCCUUGCGGCCGAAUAUCCAAGGUUUCCAGAGUAAAGCUGAUCUGCUCUGGGUAAGUCGGGGCCUAAGGAGAGGCAGAGAUGCGUAUCCGAUGGACAGCAGGUUUAAGAUUCCUGCACCCCUUGUUAUCAGAACUGCGGGGACACGGGAAGGGAAGCAGAGCCGGGAAUGGAAAGCCCGGUGCAAGCGAAGUAGUCGCAGGGUUGGAAAAUCCGCCCUGCAUGAGACGAAGGCGUGAUGCGGAGCGAAAUGAAGUAGUGAAGCUGCGGCCCCUUCCUGUCGAGAAAAGCCGCUAUCGUGUAGCAAGGGCCCGUACCGUAAACCGACACAGGUGGAUGAGGAGAGGAUCCUAAGGCCGGCGGGAGAAGUGUUGUUAAGGAACUCGGCAAAAUGACUCCGUAACUUCGGGAGAAGGAGUGCUGCGCAAGCAGCCGCAGAGAAAUGGCCCAAGCAACUGUUUAGCAAAAACACAGGUCUAUGCGAAACCGAAAGGUGAGGUAUAUGGGCUGACGCCUGCCCGGUGCUGGAAGGUUAAGGGGAGAGGUUAGCGCAAGCGAAGCUUUGAACUUAAGCCCCAGUAAACGGCGGCCGUAACUAUAACGGUCCUAAGGUAGCGAAAUUCCUUGUCGGGUAAGUUCCGACCCGCACGAAAGGCGUAAUGAUUUGGGCACUGUCUCAACAACACACCCGGUGAAAUUGAAAUACCAGUGAAGAUGCUGGUUACCCGCGCCAGGACGGAAAGACCCCAUGGAGCUUUACUCCAGCCUGAUACUGGGAUUCGGUAUUGCAUGUACAGGAUAGGUGGGAGGCUAAGAACUCAUGGCGCCAGCCGUGAGGGAGCCGAUGUUGGGAUACCACCCCUGCAGUACUGGGUUUCUAACCUGCGCCCGUGACCCGGGCGGGGGACAAUGUCAGGCGGGGAGUUUGACUGGGGCGGUCGCCUCCGAAAGGGUAUCGGAGGCGCUCAAAGGUUCCCUCAGAAUGGUUGGAAACCAUUCGAAGAGUGCAAAGGCAGAAGGGAGCUUGACUGCGACACCGACGGGUGGAGCAGGUACGAAAGUAGGACUUAGUGAUCCGGUGGCAUAAAGUGGGAUUGCCAUCGCUCAACGGAUAAAAGCUACCCUGGGGAUAACAGGCUUAUCACUCCCAAGAGUUCACAUCGACGGAGUGGUUUGGCACCUCGAUGUCGGCUCAUCGCAUCCUGGAGCUGGAGCAGGUUCCAAGGGUUGGGCUGUUCGCCCAUUAAAGCGGUACGCGAGCUGGGUUCAGA